rnacentral:rRNA from 1 species
UACGUAGGUGGCGAGCGUUGUCCGGAAUUACUGGGUGUAAAGGGCGUGUAGGCGGGAUUGUAAGUCAGAUGUGAAAUUCCAGGGCUUAACUCUGGAUAUGCACCUGAAACUAUGGUUCUUGAGUACUGGAGAGGGAAGCGGAAUUCCUAGUGUAGCGGUGAAAUGCGUAGAUAUUAGGAGGAACACCAGUGGCGAAGGCGGCUUUCUGGACAGUAACUGACGCUGAGGCGCGAAAGCGUGGGGAGCAAAC